GCGGACGUGGCGGAAUUGGCAGACGCGCAGGAUUUAGGUUCCUGUGCCGCAAGGCGUGAGGGUUCAAGUCCCUUCGUCCGCA
rnacentral:tRNA from 1 species